rnacentral:tRNA from 1 species
GGUGGCUCAGUGGUAAAGUGCUUGCCUUGCAUGCAUGAAGCCCUGGGUUCGAUUCCUUAGCACCA